CCCGCCGUUCCCCGCCGCCCGCCCCCGGGUCCCUCCCCCGAGGCCGAUCCCCCUCCCCCGGGUCCCUCCCCCGGCUCCAGGUCCCCCCGGCGCGGUGAGGCGAGGCCCGGCCCGGCGGGGCCCGGCCCGGCGCUGGGCGGAGCCGCCUCUGGCCCCUCCGAGCGGGCGGGCGCCUCGCGCUCAGCGUUUCGCCCCUCUCCUCUCCCCCCCCGGGCCUCGGCGGGGCCCGGCCUUACCGCUCAUGGUGGCCGGGGGCCGAGCCCGAGCGGCGGCGGGGCGGGGAGGAGGGGGCGGGCGCGCCCGGCGCGCUGAGGCGGCGGCCUAACCCCGCCGGUGACCGCCGAGGGGCUGCCGAGGGAGGGAGCCGCGCACCGCUGCCCCGGCCCCGCUGCCCGCCCCCGCCGCCUCCUCGCCCAAUGGCAGCGCGUCGAGGGCGCCCCGUCCUUCCGUCACCGCCCCGCCUGCCGCCAUCUCGCAGCGUAGGCCUCGUCACGACGCUGACACCGCAGGAGCUCUGUCACGAUAGCCAACCCUCUGCCCUGUCACGAUAUGGCAGCCCUGCGACAAAGCCGGGCUGGGAGCCGUCGCUCCUGGGCUGCCAUCAAAGCCCUCUCAGGACUCCACACAGCGCAGCCCAUCGCUUUGAGGCACUGCUGACCCCAGCCCCACGGAGCCCUUUUCCUCCACCCGUUGGUUUUGAAGCCCCCCAUCGCCGCUUCCUGCUGUCCCCCAUUUCCUGGGGCUGUUUUUUGGUUUAUUUUUCUCUCUCCUUCCCCCCCCCCUUCCCUCCCCAUCGCAGCUGGAAAGUUCUGCAGUCGCCCGCCAUGACCUCACCGCGCUUCCAGCGGAACUCUUUUAUUUUUGCUUUCCAUUCCUGGCAGAUGGCGAACCCCAGAGUAACUGAAAUAACACCGGGGGGGGAAGAGGGGGACAACCCCAGGGAGGGUGGAACAGCACCGCCUCACCUCAGCAUUGUGCUUUUUGGAACGGCCCCCCUCCCUCCCUCCAGCUGACAAACCCACAGCAUUGCCCCCACAGCCUGCAGGGAGGGGGAGCUGACGCUGCCCGCUGAUUGCAGUCAGUAAUUAAUUGGAGGAGGGGUGUGCUCAGAGGUCCCCGCUCCCUCUGUCUGCAGCUCCUCCCUGCCUCAGUUUCCCCUUAGCAGGGCAGAGCACAGCCUUCCUCCCCAACAAAACGCCUUAAAACUUCUUUUGUAAGACAAAAAAAAAAAAAAGGAACUGUGCAAGAAGGGAGAGGUGUCCCCCCUCCCCGCAGGCCGUGUUCAGUGUCCCACCAAGUGUCCCCUUCCCCCCUAUGAGGGAUCUGUGUCCCCACUGCAGCACAAUGAUGGCAGCCCCUAUCACAGUCUCCCCAUCUCUUCUUUCCCUCCCAACCCACGUCACAGCCACAGGGACGUCCUCCCCACCGCUGUUCCCACUGGUGGUGGCACCUGGGGACACAGAGCAGUGGCCCAUGGCCCCGCUGCUGUGCCUGCUGUGAGCUCUGUGCCUCAGUUUCCCCUUUGCCUUACAGGCAGUGCUGUGCCAAUGGCGAAGGGACGAACCUCCUGCCUCAGUGCUGCUGUGUGUCCCCGGGGUCGGUGAAGUUCCCUGGCUCUGCGCCCACCGGUGGGGCCGGGCCUGGUGCUGGGGAGGGCUGUGGGGCUUUAUCUUUUCCCUGCAUGGUGUGGGUGGGGGCACAUUGCUGUCCCUAAACUGGGUCACAGCCAGCGCCGUGCGGGGCGAAGGUUGACUCUGCCCCAUUCCUCGGGCAAAGGCUGCUCUGCAUCCCGGCUGUUGUCCGUGCUGCCUUGGUGAGGGCGGGGGGGAGGAGGGGAAGGGGGGCAAAUCCUCCUCCUGCCCCACUAUGGGGGCAGUGUAAAUGCCCAUCGUGCCCAACUGUGGGGGGGGUGAAUCUCUAUCCUGCCCCAUUGCUCCCUGGUGGGAACAGCUGGAGGCAGAUCUCUGUCCUGCUGCAGUAUUGAGACGGGGCUGGGGGGAUUUGGAUACAGCC
rnacentral:lncRNA from 1 species